rnacentral:snoRNA from 1 species
ACCAUAUUACACAAAAACGUGCACCUUAAUUGGUCAACUGAAAUUUGGUUAAUGUAAUGAACUGCGGCUGUGUGAUCAGAGCGUGAUUAGUUUUUGCCCUGGGUGGAUCUUGUUUCAGCCACCACUCUUGGCGGUGGCUGCCAUGGUCAUGCUGUUGUCUGACAGACU